rnacentral:rRNA from 1 species
UACGGAGGGGGGCUAGCGUUGUUCGGAAUUACUGGGCGUAAAGCGCACGUAGGCGGCUUUGUAAGUUAGAGGUGAAAGCCCGGGGCUCAACUCCGGAAUUGCCUUUAAGACUGCAUCGCUAGAAUCAUGGAGAGGUGAGUGGAAUUCCGAGUGUAGAGGUGAAAUUCGUAGAUAUUCGGAAGAACGCCAGUGGCGAAGGCGACUCACUGGACAUGUAUUGACGCUGAGGUGCGAAAGCGUGGGGAGCAAACAGGG